CCCUGACAAAUCUUCAAGGCAAAUCACUUGAAGAGAUUGACAUUGAAGGUAUUGCUAUUAAAAGUUGUUUUCAGCUGUGUAGAUCUGUGUAGAUCAUAAAGUUUGGUUUACAAGAAUUGCUAACAGAUAUUUUUACUGUAGCAAAAAUAUGACCUAACCUCUAGAAUGUUAUGCUUUCCACACAGCCUGCCUGCCAUUUGUCCCUCACACAACCCCACUUAAAAAACAUCUGUCCCUUUUACCUCAACAAGCUAAUCUUCAUUGUAAUAUUAUUCAUAAUGUUUUAUCGCUGUAACUCAAUGUUUGCUGUUUAAUUCUCUCAUGUUUUAUUAUUUAUUUUCUUCAUUUUUUGUCAGAUGACAUGAACCUGAGUGAUUCUGAGCAAAGCGAAGACAGUGAGUUUGAUGAACAGCAGCCCCUCAUACAUUCACAUACAAGUGUUGGAAUGAAAAGAGCCAGCCAAUAUGAGCAGGAAUGUCCAGGAACCUCAGGGAUGAAGAGAGACAGGCAGCCUGUUGAGGAACCUCCAGGCACCUCAGAUGGGAUGAAGAGAGACAGGCAGCCUGCUGAGGAACCUCCAAGCACCUCAGAUGGUAUGACCACUACCUCAGUCCACCAGCAUCCUUGAUGUUUGAUUCAUUACAUGUAGGCUAAGCAAUAUUACUGUUUGCUAUUAUAUCCAUAUACCUAAUCUUUUUUUCACUAUACAGAUAUUGACUCUGCCAUUGAAAGCACAUCUACUGGUAAGACAACAUGUUUUUUCUGAAGCAAAACACUAAAUGGGUUUUAAUACUAGUCUACAAACUGUGAA
rnacentral:lncRNA from 1 species